AUUGAACGCUGGCGGCAGGCCUAACACAUGCAAGUCGAACGGUAACAGGAAGCAGCUUGCUGCUUUGCUGACGAGUGGCGGACGGGUGAGUAAUGUCUGGGAAACUGCCCGAUGGAGGGGGAUAACUACUGGAAACGGUAGCUAAUACCGCAUAACGUCGCAAGACCAAAGAGGGGGACCUUAGGGCCUCUUGCCAUCGGAUGUGCCCAGGUGGGAUUAGCUAGUAGGUGGGGUAACGGCUCACCUAGGCGACGAUCCCUAGCUGGUCUGAGAGGAUGACCAGCCACACUGGAACUGAGACACGGUCCAGACUCCUACGGGAGGCAGCAGUGGGGAAUAUUGGACAAUGGGCGAAAGCCUGAUGCAGCCAUGCCGCGUGUAUGAAGAAGGCCUUCGGAUUGUAAAGUACUUUCAGCGGGGAGGAAGGGAGUAAAGUUAAUACCUUUGCUCAUUGACGUUACCCGCAGAAGAAGCACCGGCUAACUCCGUG
rnacentral:rRNA from 1 species